rnacentral:rRNA from 1 species
GACGAACGCUGGCGGCGUGCCUAAUACAUGCAAGUCGAGCGAUGAAGAUUGGUGCUUGCACCAAUUUGAAGAGCAGCGAACGGGUGAGUAACGCGUGGGGAAUCUGCCUUUGAGCGGGGGACAACAUUUGGAAACGAAUGCUAAUACCGCAUAAUAACUUUAAACAUAAGUUUUAAGUUUGAAAGAUGCAAUUGCAUCACUCAAAGAUGAUCCCGCGUUGUAUUAGCUAGUUGGUGAGGUAAAGGCUCACCAAGGCGAUGAUACAUAGCCGACCUGAGAGGGUGAUCGGCCACAUUGGGACUGAGACACGGCCCAAACUCCUACGGGAGGCAGCAGUAGGGAAUCUUCGGCAAGGGACGAAAGUCUGACCGAGCAACGCCGCGUGAGUGAAGAAGGUUUUCGGAUCGUAAAACUCUGUUGGUAGAGAAGAACGUUGGUGAGAGUGGAAAGCUCAUCAAGUGACGGUAACUACCCAGAAAGGGACGGCUAACUACGUG